AGCAGCCGCGGUAAUUCCAGCUCCAAUAGCGUAUAUUAAAGUUGUUGCAGUUAAAAAGCUCGUAGUUGAAUUUCGGGGUCAGUGAGUUGGUCGUGCCACUGGUAUGCACUGGCUUUACUGAUUCCUCCUUCUUGAAGAACUGUAAUGCUAUUAAUUUAGUGUUGCAGGGAAACAGGACUGUUACUUUGAAAAAUUAGAGUGUUUAAAGCAGGCUAACGCUUGAAUACAUUAGCAUGGAAUAAUGAAAUAGGACGUUUGAUCCUAUUUUGUUGGUUUCUAGGAUUGACGUAAUGAUUAAUAGGGAUAGUUGGGGGCAUUAAUAUUCAAUUGUCAGAGGUGAAAUUCUUGGAUUUAUAGAAGACUGACUACUGCGAAAGCAUUUGCCAAGGAUGUUUUCAUUAAUCAA
rnacentral:rRNA from 1 species